AUUGAACGCUGGCGGCAGGCCUAACACAUGCAAGUCGAACGAGUGGCGGCCGGGUGAGUAAUGUCUGGGACACUGCCCGAUGGAGGGGGAUAACUACUGGAAACGGUAGCUACUACCGUCUACCAUAGGAUGUUCCCAGAUGGGAUUAGGUAGUGGGUGGGGUAACGGCGUACCUAGGCGACGAUCCCUAGCUGGUCGGAGAGGAUGAUCAGGCACACUGGAACUGAGACACGGUCCAGACUCCUACGGGAGGCAGCAGUGGGGAAUAUUGCACAAUGGGCGCAAGCCUGAUGCAGCCAUGCCGCGUGUAUGAAGAAGGCCUUCGGGUUGUAAAGUACUUUCAGCGAGGAGGCGUUACUCGCAGAAGAAGCACCGGCUAACUCCGUGCCAGCAGCCGCGGUAAUUC
rnacentral:rRNA from 1 species